GGCGCGCGGGCGCCAUGGCGGUGCCGAGUUGGCUGGAGAGGCUGCGCGGCGCCCGCAAGACCGCGCUGGUGCAGGACGGGAAGAGGAAGGUGCACUACCUGUUUGAGGAUGGCAGAGAGAUGGCCGAGGAGUACGACGCGAAGACGGGUCAGUUAGCGAGUAGAAAAUGGCGAGAGAAGAAUGCCUUAGGGGGCUCCAGCAAGUGGCAGGUUGAGGUGGGAGAGCCAAAUUUGCCUCUCAUGGGAACACUGGAAUCAGAGUUCAUAAAGGAAAGCAGCUCCAAUCCUGUCUUCGUGAGGAAGGAUACCCUGACCAGCUUCCAGUGGCGGAUCCGUAACCUGCCAUACCCCAAGGAAGUCUACAGUGUCUCAGUGGAGAAGGAGCAGCGCUGCUGUGUCGUCCGGACCACCAACAAGAAGUACUACAAAAAGUUCCCUAUUCCCGACCUGGACAGAUACCAGCUCCCCUUCGAUGCAGCUGCUCUGAGCUUCACCCAUGCCAACAACACCCUGAUCAUCACGUACCAGAAGCCAAAGGAGAUCCUGGCUGCAGAAGAGGAGCUGCAAAAGGAGCUGAAGAAGAUUAAGGCAGCAAAUGAUGAUGACAGCGAGUGCAAGACCCAGUAGGCAGCAGCUGCUGGUAGUCUGGGGUGGUGGGCAGCUCUCUGGCACAGCUUCAAGAGAUAUUUAUGAUCCUUCUACGAGUUGUGGAAAGCAACAACAGAAAAAAGAAGUGCACUACAGCUUC